rnacentral:rRNA from 1 species
CCUACGGGGGGCAGCAGUGGGGGAUAUUGCACAAUGGGGGGAACCCUGAUGCAGCGACGCCGCGUGGGUGAAGGAGUGCUUCGGCAUGUAAAGCCCUAUCGGCAGGGAAGAAGCAAGACGGUACCUGACUAAGAAGCCCCGGCUUACAACGUGCCAGCAGCCGCGGUAAUACGUAGGGGGCGAGCGUUAUCCGGAUUCACUGGGUGUAAAGGGAGCGUAGACGGGCAUGAAAGCCAGGGGGUAAAGCCCGGGGCCCAACCCCGUGACUGCCGUUGAAACUGCAUGGCUGGAGUGCGGGAGGGGCAGGCGGAAUGCGUGGUGUAGCGGUGAAAUGCGUAGAUAUCAGGAAGAACACCGACGGCGAAGGCAGCCUGCUGGACCGCGACUGACGUUGAGGCUCGAAAGCGUGGGGAGCGAACAGGAUUAGAUACCCGGGUAGUC